UCUAUUGUCUUGUGCCUAAAACUAGUUACUUUUGCAGGAUCCAAGAUGGCGGGCCAGAGGGAGGCAGCAUUCUGUGUCGCUCUGUGGCCGAGUCUCAACUACUGGGAAUACUGCUUUGCUGAGAGGGAUAGAGGACCCCUCCACAGCUACUCCCGCGCAGGAAUCAUAGCUACUGUGCCACACGGGCCGUCCCUCAGCAUUAGAACAGGAUUUCCAACUUCCAGCUACUCGCCUACACAGGGCUCCUGUGGGUGCCUUAUGGGGACCACCAGCAUCAGCACCGGCACAAAAUUCCCACACGCACUCCCUGAGAAGGACACUCAGCUUCUACCCAUUUGCAGGCACUGGGGCCCCCAUUCCUGUGUGGACUGACAUCUACCAACGUGGGGCUCCCCCAUUGCCUCCAUCUUGGGACUCCGCAGCUACUGCCAUAGUUCCCUACUCAUGGUAGCGUGUCUGCACCUGGGGACAUCACAGGCUCUGAAGAAAGCCAAUAGCCGCACACUGCACGCCACAGAGCUGAUCUCUGAACUCAUCACACAAUGCCACCAGCGCCCCCUCCUGACUGACACCCCAUCACUGAAAGCAGCUGCCUCCAUCUGGGGUCACCUCCAUCAUCAACCUUAGUCGGGGCAACUACCAAUUUGGAACACCGGAUAGUCAGGUACCCAUAGUUGUCUAAUUUCUCCCCAAUCCCCAGCAGCCACUAACUUGGCAGAGUGACUGCCCAGUACAAAAGAGCCCUCUGUGACAGGUACGUAGCCACCAGAGUGCAACACACAAGACCUCCAUAAAGAAAGGAUCCUGAUUAGGAAAUAGGAAGGGAGAGGGUGAGGGAGGUACACUUUUGAGACUUAUUUAGAGGGCAGGAACUGAGGUCUACUAGUGAGAUGAGGAGAUAAGACCUGCCACCCACAUCACAGGAGCAGACCCCAAAAGGAGAUCCUUGAAGUGCAGUCUCCCAAUGGGACCAGUGGGCGCCAUACCCCACUUCCAGGUUCCCUGCACCCAAGACCAACCCUCACACCCUUGUAAUCACCACCAUAACCUGAGGGCAGAAGUACCAAACAAUCCUUGUUUCUUUGUGGAGAUUUUUUUUUCUUUCUUCUCCCUCUUUAUUCUCCCGCCCUCACAUGCCCCACAUAUGUGAAACCAAGUACUUUGCAUGAAUUAGGAUAUUGAGGACUGAGACGACUGAAUAGUAUAUUACAGUUGUGUUGCAUGUUCUUUUCUUUUUUUCUCUUUUGUUUUUUUCUCUUCAAUUUUUACUAUUUUAAAAUUUUUUAUUUUCUUAAUAUAUUUUUGUGUUUGUCUUAUGUAUUCUACUAUCUUUCCACUUACUUGUCUAACCAAAAUCACUACCUCUCUAUUCUCCUGCUACUAACCUUCUUUUUUUAUAUUUCUCUUUCACACUUCCUAAGAUAUCAUAACUUUAUAUCCUCAUCUUAUGCCUCCUCAGCAUAUAUUCCUACUUCUCACCCCAGUUCUUUGUCUACCACCAGAAACUGUAAACUCUUUUACAAACUUACUGAUUAUCUUGUAGGUAAUAUUUGAAUUCACCAUUUCUGUGCUUUGUGAAAACAAACUGUAAAUGUCUUAAUAACAACUAUUUGUUUUCAGGUGGUAUUUGUUUAUAUCAGGAUCUGUUAACAUUGUUCUUCCCCUCAAGGGUGGAGUAUUGGAACACUACAGGGACACUAUAAGUCUAUAGGUUAAAAACGGUAAUGCCUUGGAUCCACAGAGCUAGAAAGGAAGACACACAAGCAACAUGAAAAGACAAGGGAAGAAAGUGCCCCAAACAAAUCAAGAUACCACAUUAUUAGAAUCCAUGGCCAGCACAGAAUAUGAAAUUACAGAGAAGGUGUUCAGAAUACAUAACUAAAAUGUUCUGUGAAUUAAAGGAUGAUAUAAGAGAGCAAAUACAGGCAGCAAAAGAUCAUUUCCACAAAGAGUUAUGCAAGCAAAUACAGGAAGCAAAAGAUUAUUUCAACAGGAAAAUACAGGUUCUAAAGAAAAACAAAACAGAAAUCCUUGAAAUGAAAGAAAAAUAAACCAAAUUAAAAGAUCAAUUGAAAGCAUCACCAAUAAAUUAGACCACUUGGAAGACAGGACCUCAGGCAAUGAAGACAAAAUAUAUAAUCUUGAAAAAACAUAGACCACACAAUGAAAAUGGUAAGAAACUAUGAGCAGAACAUUCAAAAAAUAUGGGAUAGCAUAAAAAGACCAAAUUUAAGAGUUACUGGGAUAGAGGAAGGCAUAGAGUUCCAAACCAAAGGAAUGAACACUCUGUUCAAUGAAAUAAUAUCAGAAAAUUUUCUAAACAUGAAGAACAAAUUGGAAAACCAAAUUCAAGAGCCUUACAGGACACCAAAUGUACAAAAUCACAUCAUAUCCGCACCAAGUCACAUUAUAAUGAAAAUACCUAACAUACAGAAUGAGGAGAGAAUAUUAAGAGCCAUGAGAGAAAGGAAUCAGAUUACAUAUAGGGGGAAACCAAUCAGGUUAUGUGCAGAUUUUUCAACCCAAACUCUGAAAGCUAGAAGAUCCUGGAACAACAUAUAUCAAGCUCUGAAAGAAAAUGGAUGCCAAUCAAGAAUUUUGUAUCCAACAAAAUUAAGCUUUAGAUUUAUAGAUGAAAUGAAAACCUUCCAUGACAAUCAAGAGUUAAAAGAAUUUACAGCUGGAAAACCUGCACUACAGAACACCCUUGGCAAAAUAUUCUAUGAAGAGGAAAUGAAAAACAACAAUGAAAAUCAGCACAGGGAGGUAUUACACUAAAGGAAAAGCUAAUCAAAGGAAAAACCAAGUCAAGUAAAAUAAUAAAAGUAAACCAAAAUGGCUGGGAAUACAAAUCAUGUCUCAGUAAUAGCCUGAAUGGAUGAAU
rnacentral:lncRNA from 1 species